rnacentral:lncRNA from 1 species
GAGUAAUUCAUCUCUUUAUAUUUUGUAAGGCUCCAAUAGGAUAAUUGAUGGCAAAGACUCUGAAAACUAUAUAGACUUGUAUACGUAUAAUUGAUUUCCAUUCCACAUCUGUGAUGACAGGAAACUACUUAUACCAUAAUAUUUUGGGGUUAGUGACUUCAAGUUGGGAGCUAGAAACCAGCAUGGUGAGAGCAUCGACACCAUAAAUACUGGCAAAUUCUUCCCACCAGGCUCUCUCUUUCCCUUGAGAGCUAGUUGACAAUCAGAGAAACCACUCAGCACACAGUUAAAAAGUGAUCCGGAUUUCACUUUGGGAGCAUAGCUUAAGCUAUGUAUGAGCUUCGUGACAGUUAAGUUUGAGAAAAGAAGAAAAUAGCACAUAUGUGGAAUGAGUUAUAAAGUUGGUACAGCUAUUAAACUUAAAUUUCAACAUUCUGGAGA